GAUGAACGCUGGCGGCGUGCCUAAUACAUGCAAGUCGAACGAACAGACGAGGAGCUUGCUCCUCUGACGUUAGCGGCGGACGGGUGAUUAACACGUGGAUAACCUACCUAUAAGACUGGGAUAACUUCGGGAAACCGUGUCUAAUACCGGAUAAUAUAUUGAACCGCAUGGGUCAAUAGUUGAAGACGGUUUUGCGUUCACUUAUAGAUGGAUCCGCGCAGAAUUCACUAGUUGGUAAGGUAACGGCUUACCAAGGCAACGAUGCGUAGCCGACCUGAGAGGGUGAUCCGCCACACUGGAACUGAGACACGGUCCAGACUCCUACGGGAGGCAGCAGUAGGGAAUCUUCCGGAAUGGGCGAAAGCUUGACGGAGCAACGCCGCGUGAGUGAUGAAGGUCUUCGGCUCGUAAAACUCUGUUAUUCGGGAAGAACAAAUGUUUAAGUACCUAUGAACGUCUUGACGGUACCUAAUCAGAAAGCUACGGCUAACUCCGUG
rnacentral:rRNA from 1 species